UACGUAGGUGGCAAGCGUUGUUCGGAAUUAUUGGGCGUAAAGGGCGCGUAGGCGGUUCGUACAGUCAGACGUGAAUUCCUGGCUCAACCUGGGGCUGCGUUGAUACGUGCGGACUUGAGUGCGGAAGAGGGUCGUGGAAUUCCCAGUGUAGAGGUGAAAUUCGUAGAUAUUGGGAAGAACACCGGUGGCGAAGGCGGCGACCUGGUCCGAUACUGACGCUGAGGCGCGAAAGCGUGGGGAGCAAACAGG
rnacentral:rRNA from 1 species